rnacentral:rRNA from 1 species
UACAGAGGGGGCAAGCGUUGUUCGGAAUUACUGGGCGUAAAGGGUGCGUAGGUGGCGCCGUAAGUCGGGUGUGAAAUUUCGGAGCUUAACUCCGAAACUGCAUUCGAUACUGCGGUGCUUGAGGACUGGAGAGGAGACUGGAAUUCAUGGUGUAGCAGUGAAAUGCGUAGAGAUCAUGAGGAAGACCAGUGGCGAAGGCGGGUCUCUGGACAGUUCCUGACACUGAGGCACGAAGGCCAGGGGAGCAAACGGG